rnacentral:rRNA from 1 species
GAUGAACGCUAGCGGCAGGCUUAAUACAUGCAAGUCGUGGGGCAGCGCAGUGUAGCAAAUACAUGGGCGGCGACCGGCAAAACGGGUGCGGAACACGUACACAACCUUCCUACAAGUGGGGAAUAGCCCAGAGAAAUUUGGAUUAAUACCCCGUAACAUAUAAAGAUGGCAUCAUUUUAUAUUAUAGCUACGGCGCUUGUUGAUGGGUGUGCGGCUGAUUAGGUAGUUGGCGGGGUAAUGGCCCACCAAGCCUGCGAUCAGUAGCUGAUGUGAGAGCAUGAUCAGCCACACGGGCACUGAGACACGGGCCCGACUCCUAC